GGCGGUUGCGGGUGCACACUUCCAUCCAGCCGGUCGCCACUGGACAUGCUCCUAAAGUCCAUUGUGAUUAGUGGCUGUGGUCAGAAGUUAUCCAGCUUGAGGCAGAUUGAAUUUCUCACAACUCUUCACUCUCCUGUAGAGAUGUUUUUGAUAUUCCUGCUCUACACAACGGAUCCUACCAAGGAAGAAGCACUGAGAAAAAAAUAGAUCACCAACAUGAACCUGCGUGCUUCUGGAAGAACAGGGAUGAUCAGGAAGCUGGGAAGAGAAUCCUUCAGAUGGGGAAACGGAAGCCCAAAGAACUGAAAGAACCUGCCCAAGAUCACACAACCUUAAUCUAGUCUUACUGUAAAACUUAAAACAAGAAAAGUGUGAGGAAGAAAGUACAAGCCCACCUGCAGCCCCACAUCCAGGGAUGAUGAACAUCAGCACGUUGGUGAUGAUCCUCCUUUCAUCUGUCACAGGCAUUGACUCACGUUCGUAUGAUUUUACCUGAAUGGAAUAAUAUCCUGUCAUACAUGAUUUAUUUUUUAAAUAAGGACCUCUUUUUCUUUGUUUUACUAACCUCCUCCUUUCCAUUCCCACGCCCCCAAACACAUUUAACAAACUAGUACAUAUCCUUUUUUUAAGUUUACAUAUAUAAAAUUUUAAAAUAAAUGCUUAUAUAUAUACACACACAUUUACAAAUAAGUGUAUUUAUAUACAGAUACGGGGCUUUUUUGGGAAGCUAUUUUUUGUUUUACAAAAUGGGAUCAUAUUAUGCACACUGCUCUGCAUCUUGCUUUUCUCAUUGAACAAUAUCUUAGAAGUUUCUGACGUCACCUGGAUUGAUUUACCCCACUAUUUGUAAUGGUUGCACACUAUUUCAUUGUGUGGUUAAUUUUAUAACUCCUCUAACAACAAAAUUCUGCCCAGUUAAUAUUUUCUUUCUACAGAUGUUUUAGCCUGGUUUUCCCUCCAAAGCAAAGUCCGAGACAAGGGCUUGCGUGCAUGCAAUUCAUUAGGGAAGGGAGCCCGGGGUCUGGGACGAGAGACUGGGAAAGCGAAACGCACAAGGCAGCACAGCCAGUGCCAAGGGGCUUCCUUGAGCCGGCGCCUGCUGUGGGCCGCCGGGUGCGCCCUCUCUGAGACGCCUUACCCAGCGAGACUUAGAACUCUCGAGCGUCUACGGUCGGGCCCACACGACACGCGGUCAGCAAUUACGCCUCAAGGAAAACGGCCUGUCGUGCUGCGCAUGCGCCGCUGCAGAGCAGCCUGGGUAGACCGGAAGCCAGUGCCGGCAGGCGUGCUUCCGGUUCGCUUGUGCUGGGCUGGUCGCCAAAGCAGUGGCUGCAGUGAAAGUUGGACUGAGAGGAAAGGAAGCUGCUUCCGAUCCGGAAAGUCGCACGCGCUUUCUUCUGGCUUUCCCUAUCCUGGAGAUCCACGGGUUUCAUGCAAGGGACAAACUCUUACCCUUUGGUCUGACAGCAACAAUGAUAAGAACGUACCCCGUUUUCGGCACCAACUUUGUAUGGGGUGGUCUACACCGCACAUGUGCGUCUUCACAACAGUCACCAGAGGCAGGUGUUUUCCGGAGAGGGCAGGGGAGGCCAGAGGAUUAUGAGGGAGAGGCCGUUUGUACCGUGUUCUCCUGGUAUUCCCAGUGGUUCGUGCAAUGCGUGCUGCUUAAAGGAUGGUCAGUCCAGCCUUUAUCACCUGCAAUCUAAAAGAAUUUUGUAAAACUUCUUGCACAUUUUAAAGUGGAAUAUGUAAAAUCGUUUAUCCUAAUUUGAAAACUUAUUUUUUAAUAGGAAGGAAAUAAUAAACAUUUUAUAAAAUGAAAUAAGAUGAAGAUGGUCUACAUUUAGUCCAUUGAGGUUGUGUUUGUGUUGCGAUGUGAUAAAAUGAGUUUUAACUACUUACUGGAUAGCAUUCACU
ensembl:lncRNA